UACGUAGGAUCCAAGCGUUAUCCGGAAUUACUGGGCGUAAAGCGUACGUAGGUGGAGAUUUAAGUGAGAUGCGAAAUCUGGCGGCUCAACCGUCUAGACUGUGUCUCAUACUGGGUUUCUUGAGGUUGGCAGAGGCAAGUGGAAUUUCCGGUGUAGCAGUGAAAUGCGUAGAUAUUACAUGGAAUACCGAUUGCGAAGGCAGGUUACUAUCAAUACAUUGACGCUGAUGGACGAAAGCGUGGGUAGCGAACAGG
rnacentral:rRNA from 1 species